rfam:Myotis brandtii contig280522, whole genome shotgun sequence.
GAGACACCCUUAUGGGGCAGGACUUGCUUCAGUGGGGCUCACUGAGUCUGCCCCUUAAGUGUGUCACU